GAUGAAGAACGCAGCGAAAUGCGAUAAGUAAUGUGAAUUGCAGAAUUCAGUGAAUCAUCGAAUCUUUGAACGCACAUUGCGCCCCCUGGUAUUCCGGGGGGCAUGCCUGUCCGAGCGUCAUUGCUGCCCUCAAGCACGGCUUGUGUGUUGGGCCUCCGUCCUCCUCCCGGGGGACGGGCCCGAAAGGCAGCGGCGGCACCGCGUCCGGUCCUCGAGCGUAUGGGGCUUCGUCACCCGCUCUUGUAGGCCCGGUCGGCGCUUGCCGACACAUCAAUCUUUUUUCCAGGUUGACCUCGGAUCAGGUAGGGAUACCCGCUGAACUUAAGCAUAUCAAUAAGCGGAGGA
rnacentral:misc_RNA from 1 species